rnacentral:rRNA from 1 species
UAGGGAAUCUUCCGCAAUGGACGCAAGUCUGACGGAGCAACGCCGCGUGAGUGAAGAAGGAUUUCGGUUCGUAAAACUCUGUUGUUAGAGAAGAACAGCGCAUAGAGUAACUGUUAUGCGUGUGACGGUAUCUAACCAGAAAGCCACGGCUAACUACGUGCCAGCAGCCGCGGUAAUACGUAGGUGGCAAGCGUUGUCCGGAUUUAUUGGGCGUAAAGCGAGCGCAGGCGGUCAAUUAAGUCUGAUGUGAAAGCCCCCGGCUCAACCGGAGAGUGUCAUUGGAAACUGGUUGAGGUGAGUGCAGAAGAGGAGAGUGGAAUUCCAUAGGUGGCGGUGAAAUGCGUAGAUAUAUGGAGGAACGCCAGUGGCGAAGGCGACUCUCUGGUCUGUAACUGAAGCUGAGGCUCGAAAGCGUGGGUAGCAGACAGG